GAUGAACGCUGGCGGCGUGCCUAAUACAUGCAAGUCGAGCGAACAGACGAGGAGCUUGCUCCUCUGACGUUAGCGGCGGACGGGUGAGUAACACGUGGAUAACCUACCUAUAAGAUUGGGAUAACUUCGGGAAACCGGAGCUAAUACCGGAUAAUAUAUUGAACCGCAUGGUUCAAUAGUGAAAGACGGUUUUGCUGUCACUUAUAGAUGGAUCCGCGCCGCAUUAGCUAGUUGGUAAGGUAACGGCUUACCAAGGCGACGAUGCGUAGCCGACCUGAGAGGGUGAUCGGCCACACUGGAACUGAGACACGUUCCAGACACCUACGGGAGGCAGCAGUAGGGAAUCUUCCGCGAUGGGCGAAAGCCUGACGGAGCAACGCCGCGUGAGUGAUGAAGGUCUUCGGAUCGUAAAACUCUGUUAUUAGGGAAGAACAAAUGUGUAAGUAACUAUGCACGUCUUGACGGUACCUAAUCAGAAAGCCACGGCUAACUACGUG
rnacentral:rRNA from 1 species